rnacentral:lncRNA from 1 species
GGCAUUUAAUAAAUUAUUUCUUCUUCUUUUUUCCUUACCUGCGUCAGUGCUAUAUUUUCCUUACCUGCUAUAUUAUGCUAUUUCAAUUUUUUUUCUUUCACUUUCAACCUUUUGGUUUAAUUUCCUUCCAAGGCCUUUCUCCUUUCUACUUUCCACAAUUUCAUUUAAACCAUUUAUCAUUUAUUUUCAAGCAUAAUUCUUUCCAUGAUUAAUUAAACUCUUUUUUAACUUUAGCCCGGAAGUUGCUCCAACAAAACAAUCGUGAGAUACAAAUUCGCUCAAAAAAUCUCUCAACGCAGCAUUUUCUAUCUCUCCGAUAUAUGGGAUAGUACAAAUUCAUUCCUUAAAGUUGAUUCAUUCGAUUCAAAAAGUGCACAUUGGGUUGGAGUUGUUUGGCAUACAGUUGGGAAGAUGAAUCGGCCAUGCUGUGUUCGAAUUCUCACGAACAAAUUGGCAUGUCUAGGUGGGAAAAGCCAAUUGGAUUCCAACAAGGGAGAUAGAGAUCGGAUUUAAAUAAAUGACCGACACGGUUGAGGCCGUUGAUUUGAGUUGGGCUUUUUAGAUCGCAAGGCUAUCGAAAUCUUAAAUUGUGAACACGUGUAUCGCAAUUAGAAAUUUGGCAAGAGUUAGAUUGUAGGUCAUAUCGGGAUUAACUACAUAAGGAAAAGUUGAUGAUCGGGACGUUCUUAGUCGCUAUAACCAGCUUAUUGCUUAGAAGGGAAAAUCUAUUUCAAGGAUCGAUUCAAGAUUGGAGUAUACCGAGGCUAAGGCUAAGCUUAGAAAAAUGUUUUAUUUAUCCAUUUGUUUUAUUUUCUUAAAUUUAUUUUUGCAUUUUUGAAUAUAUUUUUAUUUUAUUUUAUUUUUUCUAUUUCUUUAUUUUAUUAUCUUAAUCAAUUUAAGCCUCCAGUUUUUAUUUUUAUUUUUAGCAUUUCUACUCACAGGCUGUAGCCACGACUGUCGCCGCGACAGCAAUUCUGGUCACGAAAAAAGACAAAAUUAGAUAGCCAGUCUCUGUGGAUUUGACCCUACUACUCUAUACUACCAUUUACUUAUUUUGUCAUAGGAAUUUAUAUUUGGUGGUUUCGAUGCCCAUCACAUCAGGAGGUACUUCUUCAACCCAGUAUUGAGAGUUCCCUAUUUUGAAACCCAUGCUCGCUAUUGUAUGAGCAACUAAAUUAGAUUCUCGAUCUGCAUGUUGAAAAAAAAAUAGAAUCAAAAUUAAGAGCCAUCAUUCUAAUUUCUUUAACAUAAACUCCAACCGCAGAUCUAUCUAAGACUCCUUUUUGUGCCUUUACGAUUAUCCUUGUAGAAGCCCAAAUUUGCUGGCCUAGUAAAAAUAAUAACCCAAUCACAAAUGGGCCCAAAAAUUAAAAACCUAGCUCAAACAACAUUAACAUUUUCAGCAGAAAUGAGUAAAAGAAACCCUAGGAGCCGCAUGCCUCGGGUGGCCUCCUCGUCUGCCACCCCCAGCCACCAGGCACCUUCAGCGCACGCCUCUGACACUGCCGCCGUUGGCCCUCCACGCGUGUCAGACCACCUGCAGAGAGAAAUGAAUGCAAAGAAAAAAAGAGCAAUAAAAAAAACAGUUUGUAAUGGCCUAUAAAAAACAACAAGAGCCAUUUUUUUUUGUUCUACUUCGAUUUUCUUUGUAAAAAAACCCACAUCAGAAUAGAAAAUUUUAAAGGUUGAAUCUGUGCUAUUUUCUUCUUUGUUUUCUCUUAUUUAUUUGUUUUAUCUUAUUUUAUUUUACUUUUUUUCGCCUUUUGCAAAUCUAUUUUAAAUAACUAUUAUAAAAAAAAUCAAAAGCAAAAAAUAAUGGGGAAGGGAACUCACCGGAAGUGGCUGUGGUUGCGCCGUCGGAGGGUCUCUCAUCCAUCGCCCGAAUCGAGUCCAAGAGGCUGAGAACUUCCCUUGUUUUCGACUCCCAUGGGUUGAGAGAGCUUUGGCUCUCAAGGAUGCCAUGGUGCAAGGGCUAACGGGCCCAUUAUUUGGCGCCGGUCGCCGGCCACUUUGGUGGUGCGACGGAGGUCUUGAGAGACCGUCGGCCAUUUGAGAAUGGAGGGUGUUGAGAGAAAAACUGAGGCUCCUUCAGUUUUUUUU